GCUAUUUACAAAAUGCGUUCGAUUAUACUAUGGAGAUUUAAGAAGUGCAGUAUGAAAACUAGCUAGAUGGUUAAUUGAUAUAAUGUAUUUGUUCAAAUCAUUAUACUCCUUACAAGCUUGGUAUAGAAGUUUCUGCUUUCCCCAAUUGGUACUAGGUUUGCUGAGAUGAAUGUGAUCUCUUUGUCUCGUGUUAUGCAGGUGGUUGGCUUUACGUAGGUCCCAGUCAUAGUCUAUCAGGUUAUUUUUCAAUUUGAAUAUGGUCAGCAUUCGAUGUAAGUAUCGCCGCUGGGUAAGUGGGUGCCAGUGUAAAUCGAUCUGACUCCCACACGGCAAUCAGGUAGAACAGUAUCUAUAUUUCUUUUGCUCCUUUUUACAAUAUUUUAAUAUUUUUGUAAAUAAUUAUACUAAUGAUUCUCCGUGUUUAAAUAAAGUUGAUGUAUAUAUGUAUGUGGUAAAUGUGAGAAAACAAACUAUCACCUUCGGGACAUUUCAACUGGUCUUUGUUUACCAAAACCUCGUUCCAAUAACAUGAAAAAUAGUUUGUACAACGGAGCUAAACUUUGGAAUUCUAUUCCAAAAGAAAUUAGGGAAAGCAAAUCACUUUCUUCCUUUCGAAAUAAAAUUGCUGCUCACAUUUAUGAAUAAUAAGUAUUGUAAAUAAUGUGCCUGUAAAUAGUCUGCCAACUUUCUCAUUAGACAUUAAUAUGUUACUAUUUUAAUACUCAUUAAUAUGUUACUAUUUUAAUAUUCUAUAUCUCUUAAAACCUUUGUAAAUAGCUCUAACUAUCACUUUCGGACUUUCCUGUACUUGUAAAAAUCUUAUUCAACUUUUGGGCACACGCCCCUCGUGGAACAUCUGUUGGCAACAAUAUAUCAUGAUCACUGCUAUGGAAAACGGCAAAAGCUAAUACAGCAAGCAGACACCACUUCAGGAAAUCCAUGGUAAUUCAUGUCAAGAUGAAGAAAUUUCUAAAAAACAAUUAAAACAUAAAAUUAAAAACUUACAGCAGCAAUUGCGAAGGUGUAAGAAGAAGAUAGGGAACAUGGCAGAACUUAUUGACAAACUGCAAG